CUUAAUUUGACUCAACGCGGGGAACCUCACCAGGCCCGGACACUGGAAGGAUUGUUGGAUUAAGAGCUUUUUUCAAUUUGGUGGGUGGCGGUGCAUGACCAUUCUUAGUUGGAGGAGUGAUUUACCUGGUUAAGCGCAAUAAUGAAUUUCAUCAGCUUGUCUUGUACCGACUUGGUUUGGUCCCUCGUUGUAACUUCUUAUUAGAGGAAUCUGUACCAUCUAGAUACAAAAGACUGCUCCAAAA
rnacentral:rRNA from 1 species